rnacentral:tRNA from 12 species
AGGCACAUAGCUCAGCUGGUUAGAGCAUCACCUUGACAUGGUGGGGGUCGUUGGUUCGAGUCCAAUUGUGCCUACCA